AUGGCUCAGGAUGAACGCUAGCGGCAGGCUUAACACAUGCAAGGUCGAGGGGCAGCGGGAUGUAGCAAUACAUUGCCGGCGACCGGCGGAUGGGUGCGUAACGCGUAUGCAACCUACCUUAUACAGGGGAAUAACCUUUCGAAAGGGAGACUAACACCCCAUAGUAUUGAUUUAAGGCAUCUUAGAUUAAUUAAAUAUUUAUAGGUAUAAGAUGGGCAUGCGUAUGAUUAGCUAGUUGGUAAGGUAACGGCUUACCAAGGCGACGAUCAUUAGGGGUUCUGAGAGGAAGGUCCCCCACACUGGUACUGAGACACGGACCAGACUCCUACGGGAGGCAGCAGUGAGGAAUAUUGGUCAAUGGGCGCAAGCCUGAACCAGCCAUGCCGCGUGCAAGGAAGACGGCCUUAUGGGUUGUAAACUGCUUUUACAUAAGACUAACCGUAUAUUUGCGAAUAUACCUGAAUGUAUUAUGAGAAUAAGGAUCGGCUAACUCCGUGCCAGCCGCCGC
rnacentral:rRNA from 1 species